rnacentral:rRNA from 1 species
UGCAGUCGAACGAGAAAGGGGAGCAAUCCCUGAGUAAAGUGGCGACCGGGUGAGUAACACGUGACCAAUCUACCCUCGAGUGGGGAAUAACUCCGGGAAACCGGAGCUAAUACCGCAUAACAUCUUCGGAACGCGAGUUCUGUUGAUCAAAGGAGCAAUUCGCUUGAGGAGGAGGUCGCGGCUGAUUAGCUAGUUGGCGGGGUAAUGGCCCACCAAGGCUGAGAUCGGUAUCCGGCCUGAGAGGGCGCACGGACACACUGGAACUGAAACACGGUCCAGACUCCUACGGGAGGCAGCAGUGGGGAAUUUUGCGCAAUGGGGGAAACCCUGACGCAGCAACGCCGCGUGGAGGAUGAAGUCCCUUGGGAUGUAAACCCCUUUCGACCGGGAAGAUACUGACGGUACCGGUGGAAGAAGCACCGGCUAACUCUGUGCCAGCAGCCGCGGUAAUACAGAGGGUGCGAGCGUUGUUCGGAAUUAUUGGGCGUAAAGGGCGCGUAGGCGGUCGGGUAAGUCACCUGUGAAAUCUCCUGGCUCAACUGGGAGCUUGCAGGCGAAACUGCCUGGCUGGAGUGUGGGAGAGGUGCGUGGAAUUCCUGGUGUAGCGGUGAAAUGCGUAGAUAUCAGGAGGAACACCUGUGGCGAAAGCGGCGCACUGGACCACAACUGACGCUGAGGCGCGAAAGCUAGGGGAGCAAACAGGAUUAGAUACCCUGGUAGUCCUAGCCCUAAACUAUGGAUGCUUGGUGUGAUCGGUACCCAAUCCGAUCGUGCCGCAGCUAACGCGUUAAGCAUCCCGCCUGGGGAGUACGGUCGCAAGGCUG